GAAAAGUUAGUUAAUUUCAUAACAUUGCUUUGUCAAAGCCAAAUUAUCAUUAUAAUGAUACUUUUCA
rnacentral:tRNA from 2 species